GUGGGAAUAGCUUAGUGGUGGAGUGUAUGCUUAGCAUGCACAAGGUCCUGGGUUCAAUCCCCAGUACCUCCA
rnacentral:tRNA from 1 species